UGUUUACAUGCAUAUAAUAUUCAGUUUUUUGCCUUUAUUCUGAAAAAGAUAAUAUUCCAACUAAGUUGUUUACACGGCUAAUGAAAGUAAAUAUUGCACUAAUAUGGGAAAAAUUUG